UUGAACUUUUGACGGCAUGCUUUACACAUGCAAGUCGAACGGCAUCACUGGGUGCUUGCACCUGGUGGCGAGUGGCGAACGGGUGAGUAAUAUAUCGGAACGUAUCCGGAAGUGGGGGAUAGCUCGGCGAAAGCCGGAUUAAUACCGCAUAUGCCUUGAGGGGGAAAGGGGGGGAUCCGCAAGGACCUCUCUCUUUCGGAGCGUCCGAUAUCAGAUUAGCUAGUUGGUGGGGUAAAGGCCUACCAAGGUGACGAUCUGUAGCGGUUCUGAGAGGAUGAUCCGCCACACUGGGACUGAGACACGUCCCAGAUUCCUACGGGAGGCAGCAGUGGGGAAUUUUGGACAAUGGGCGAAAGCCUGAUCCAGCCAUGCCGCGUGAGUGAAGAAGGCCUUCGGUUUGUAAAGUUCUUUCAGACGGGAAGAAACGGACAUGGUUAAUAACCAUGUCUAAUGACGGUACUGUCAGAAGAAGCACCGGCUAACUACGUGCCAGCAGCCGCGGUAAUACGUAGGGUGCGAGCGUUAAUCGGAAUUACUGGGCGUAAAGCGUGCGCAGGCGGUUUUGUAAGACAGGUGUGAAAUCCCCGGGCUUAACCUGGGAACUGCAUUUGUGACUGCAAGGCUAGAGUACGGCAGAGGGGGGUAGAAUUCCACGUGUAGCAGUGAAAUGCGUAGAUAUGUGGAGGAAUACCGAUGGCGAAGGCAGCCCCCUGGGUCGAUACUGACGCUCAUGCACGAAAGCGUGGGGAGCAAACAGGAUUAGAUACCCUGGUAGUCCACGCCCUAAACCGAUGUCAACUUAGGUGUUGGGGAAGGAGACCUUCUUUAGUACCGCAGCUAACGCGUGAAGU
rnacentral:rRNA from 1 species